UACAGAGGUCUCAAGCGUUGUUCGGAUUCAUUGGGCGUAAAGGGUGCGUAGGCGGCGCGGUAAGUCGGGUGUGAAAUUUCGAGGCUCAACUUCGAAACUGCAUUCGAUACUGCCGUGCUUGAGGACUGGAGAGGAGACUGGAAUUUACGGUGUAGCGGUGAAAUGCGUAGAUAUCGUAAGGAAGACCAGUGGCGAAGGCGGGUCUCUGGACAGUUCCUGACGCUGAGGCACGAAGGCCAGGGGAGCAAACGGG
rnacentral:rRNA from 1 species